AGUGAACGCUGGCGGUAGGCCUAACACAUGCAAGUCGAACGGCAGCACAGUAAGAGCUUGCUCUUACGGGUGGCGAGUGGCGGACGGGUGAGGAAUACAUCGGAAUCUACUUUUUCGUGGGGGAUAACGUAGGGAAACUUACGCUAAUACCGCAUACGACCUACGGGUGAAAGCAGGGGAUCUUCGGACCUUGCGCGAUUGAAUGAGCCGAUGUCGGAUUAGCUAGUUGGCGGGGUAAAGGCCCACCAAGGCGACGAUCCGUAGCUGGUCUGAGAGGAUGAUCAGCCACACUGGAACUGAGACACGGUCCAGACUCCUACGGGAGGCAGCAGUGGCGAAUAUUGGACAAUGGGCGCAAGCCUGAUCCAGCCAUACCGCGUGGGUGAAGAAGGCCUUCGGGUUGUAAAGCCCUUUUGUUGGGAAAGAAAAGCAGCAGGUUAAUACCCCGCUGUUCUGACGGUACCCAAAGAAUAAGCACCGGCUAACUUCGUG
rnacentral:rRNA from 1 species